ensembl:lncRNA
AGAGCCCAUCCUCCUCUGACAAGAGUUAAGCAAAAAAAUUAAUCUCAGAAUUAAUUGUAGGAUGAAGCAAGAGCACAGGUGCAGCUGCAGGUGGAGGCGACUCUAACAUAUAUAAGUCUGAUGGGUCACAUACAGAAGACAGUGAAGACUGAGGAACAUUUGAAGACUCUCAUUCAUCUGUAUCUCCAACAACAAAAACGUCUAAUAUCAGUAAUGAAGAGUGUAAAUGCAGUGAAGAUGUUGGCGGUGUUUGCUCUGGUUUUUCUGGUGUCCAGUGUGACUGAGGGACUGAUUAUCAGUAAAUGUGAGCUGAAGGAGAAGCUGGAGGCGACUCAGAUUCAGGUGAUUCGGGCCAUGGGAGACAAAAUGACCGUGAACGAUCUCAACGCUAGACUGGUCUGCUUGGCCGGCGCUACAGGCUUCAACACCAGCUUUGUCAAAAACAUCCCUGCCAAACCUAAAGAGCCCUUAAAUAGCAACUCCAUAAAACCGAACACGACGCGGCGUCCCGUCUGGCACCUGUACGGUGUGUUUCAGCUCAGUGAUCAGCUGGCCUGUGAUUCUGGCAUGAACCCAUCUCUCAAUGUCUGCAACACGAGCUGCACUGCUUUUACUGACGAUGACGUCACAGAUGACAUCGCCUGCCUGAAUACCAUUAUUAGCAGCAUUAAACCUAGACCGAAAAACAACAUCACUCUUCCACUUGUAACGCUGAGCACUAUUUUGGUGAAGGAGUGUCACUUUGUGGUUCCCUCUCAGUAUUUUGUGGAGUGUCCGAGUGGAACAACACCGUCGCCUGGAACAAUGCUGUGAUUUUACUCUCCUGACCUGCUGUAAUACUGUAGAUUUGAACCAGUCAACUACAGCAUCAUAUAGACUACCUAACUAACAAUGCUACAUACAGUCACAACAGUCUGAUGUUUCCACAGCAACUGCCUUUGAUUGAAUAAUGGUAAUGAGGUUGUUAUGAUGGUGGUGGGAUCUGUGCGAGUUUAAACAAUUUAAAGACUUUGAACAGGGGCCGCUUGUGCAUUAAUAAACUUUAUAUUAUUCCUGCAGUAUUGUAGAUGUUUGGUGGCAUUUCACAUUUCUGUCUACAACUGUAAUAAAGCAGUCUCUG